rnacentral:rRNA from 1 species
CCUACGGGGGGCUGCAGUGGGGAAUAUUGGACAAUGGGCGAAAGCCUGAUCCAGCCAUGCCGCGUGUGUGAAGAAGGCCUUCGGGUUGUAAAGCACUUUCAGUGGGGAAGAAAGCCUUGGGGCUAAUACCCUCGAGGAAGGACAUCACCCACAGAAGAAGCACCGGCUAACUCCGUGCCAGCAGCCGCGGUAAUACGGAGGGUGCGAGCGUUAAUCGGAAUUACUGGGCGUAAAGCGCGCGUAGGCGGUCUGAUAAGCCGGUUGUGAAAGCCCCGGGCUCAACCUGGGAACGGCAUCCGGAACUGUCAGGCUAGAGUGCAGGAGAGGAAGGUAGAAUUCCCGGUGUAGCGGUGAAAUGCGUAGAGAUCGGGAGGAAUACCAGUGGCGAAGGCGGCCUUCUGGACUGACACUGACGCUGAGGUGCGAAAGCGUGGGUAGCAAACAGGAUUAGAUACCCGGAGUC